UUACCCGACCAGCUCUUCCAAUGCGACCUGGCAGCAAGGCUUCUUCAACCUCCCACCAAUCGAUUACACUACGGAUAUGGAAAAUUUUGCUUCAGUCAUGGCUUCAAGAUUUUGCGCACCCAGCGCACAUGGGCGACGACGAAUGCAUGAGAGGGAGCAGGUCUACUCGAGGGUUUGGGGGGAUUGGGCUGGCAGACUGCAUGUAGCCUUAGAAAAAUAUGAAGAACAACAACAACAGCAACAACAACAACAAGGGUUUGGUGGCCGUACAGUGAUUGCCAUUGGCUAUCAAUUAGAUUCAGCGCUCGCCUGUAUGGCGGUUAGUGGAGAUGGUUUUUGCUAUUAGGACGCGGCGAGAAGUUUCGGACUCGCAAUUUGUCAGGAACAUGGGCAAAUCGCCUUCCUCGAUAAUGUUUUGAUCCAGUCCGAACUUAAACCAGGAUCGUAAGGACGAGUUCUCAAUUUCUCAUCGGGCAGCAACGCUGCCAUUUAGCCUUUUUAGUCUGUCCACGUUAGACCGUCGUUGGAGAAUCUGUGCUUCUUCGUUUCCAGCCUCUUCUCUGCAUAUAUCUACAACUCUUCGCGACGGAACCUGUUACAACCACAUUUGACGCGAUGCUCAUCUUCAUUCGGCAGAAGGCACCUUAGCAUAUCCCUCAUUCUCCCAGCAGUUCACCAUUGUUGGACAUGUCUGUUCCAUCCGCCUGAUGCGUUUUACUCGUCGCAUCUCAAUACGCUCUGUAUAGCCAGUCUUUAUCGCUUCUGGGUCAUCAAAUUGCAACACACUUUGAGAAACUCCUUAAACAACUUAUCAUCCUCUGGUUCAAAAUUUCCAUUAAGUAUCCUGUCGACGUCGUCGCCGUAUAGGUAAUUAAAUAGCGAGUAACGAUGCACAAAAUCUGCCACGUUGGCAAUACGGUAGUCGAAAUGAGCCGAAGACAUAUCGUAGAUGUCUCUAACCUUGUAAGCCAGCGCGCAGAAUACCAACGCAUCACACUUUAGUUUCCGCGGUUCUCCUUGCUUAUUUUCCUUGCGGUCUGUUUUCUCAAAUGCGAACUUCAUGAGAUUUUCCACCCUAACCGCCUGCUACCUAGGGAAGGGUCACAUCAUCCGGUUGUUGUCGUACGGCGUUGGCUGUCGCUUCGAGAACGUUGUGAAUCUCAAGCUGUAUCUUCCGCCGUGACACACUUUGCAGCACAUCACCCAACUCAAGGUCAAGAUCCUUAUGAUGCCAAAGCUUAGAUCCAAUCUGGUCCAGAUUUGACUGGCAUUCUAAGGAAAGUGAAACCAUUCUGGAAUGUGCGCGAUGUACAAAUCAGCAGCUUCCUGCCAGACAAAUUGUACUUUCGAAGCAGAGGGAAGAAAAAAUUCCUGGUGGACCUUGGUGAGGAUUACAAGUUCCGAGCAACGAAAUUGUCUGGCUGCUACAAAUUGCACCAACGAUCAUGAUUGGCUUACACCGCUUGACGGCUAUCUUUUCGUAAUCGAAGAAACGUCGCCGCUUCAGAUGGGCGCCAGUUUCUUUCCUUAUCUCCUCGUCCGUAGGUUUUGGCAAAAUUCGCGUGGUAUUGACAAGAUUAACCAUCCCCACAAGAGUUAGGGGUUGAGAAUAUGGUGAAGUCACGGAUAAAAGCUCUCUAAAGAAAAGAAAAAAAAAGGAAGAAAGGAACUAAAAUAAAAUCUAUCCUGAUCUCAUCAUGCUUUAUCUGGCCAGUAGGUCUUUAUGAUGUCCCUCUUGUUCACCUUCCCCAUUGCGUUCCGCUCGAUAUUAUCCACGAGUUUCAACACGGUAGGCACCUUGUAUGAGGCCAUUUCUUCCCUCAGUCGAAUACGUAGGGGGCUGAGUUCGAGCGCAGGAGUCUGGCCAAUGGAAAGUGAAAAAUUAGUCUGCUUAGCAUCAAUCAUCCGAUAUAUGCCCAGCGUGUGAGGAGGGGAGGAAGAUGAGUGAGAAAGUAAGAAAGAAAGAAAAGAACGUACACCAGACCUCUGCUUAACCACAGCCGCCACCCGCUGACCCCAUUCCUCAUCCGCAAGCCCGACAACCACGACCUCCUGAAUCUCGUCCAAUGCCAGCAUCUUCCUUUCCACUUCUAGCGCCGAGAUCUUGUAGCCACCAGACUUGAUCAGAUCAACUGACGCCCGGCCCUGGAUAUAAUACGCCCCGUUCGAAUCCCGCUUAGCAACAUCGCCCGUCUUAAACCACCCAUCCGCGGUAAACUCCUUCGCAGUAGCUUCCGGCCGUCUCCAAUAUUCCAGAAACACAUUAUCCCCUUUCACCUCAAUCAUGCCCGCCUCCUCCGUCUCCACCGCAACCACCUGGCCGGUUUCCUUAUUGGUGAGCCGAACCUGCACGCCCGGCAGCGGCCACCCAACGCUGCCAUCAAUUCUCGUUUCGAUAUCUAGCCCACAGCUAAUCCCCAUGCCGAUCUCCGUCAUGCCAUACCGUUCCAGCAGCACCUGGCCCGUAAUCUCCGCGAAUUUCGUCUUGAUGGGCGUGGGCAGGGCGGCCGAGCCACUGACAACCAGACGCAGGGCCUUCGUGCCCCUCCGUGCAUCCGGCUCCAGCUCCGUCGACCGGAUGUGCGCAUCGAAGUAGUCCACGAGCCGCGAGUAGACGGUCGGCACGGCGAAGAACAUCGUCGACGAGCCCCGAUCGCACCACCGCCUCCAGACCACGGCGGGAUCGAACUUGGUGUGCAUUUCCACUGUCGCGCCGGCGAGGAGUGUGGCCGUGAGCCCGUUGAUGAUCCCAUGCACAUGGUGCAAGGGGAGCACAUGGAUGAGGUGGUCUGCCGGGGUAUAUUCCCAGGCCUUGGCAAGGCACUCCGCUUGGAAUGUUAUGUUCUUGUGGGUUGUGACGCAGCCUUUGGGGUUCGAGGUUGUUCCGGACGUAUAUAUCAUCAAUGCGCGCCUGGAUUGGGGGAGGGAAGCGUGGAACGGUGGUAAGGGCACUAGAGAUUUCGUGCUGGCGACGAGAGGGAUUAGAUCAAAAAAGGGAAUAUCGGGACAAGCUUCUUGAAUGGCGGUUUUCAUAUGGCUGAAUGAGGGAUGGAGGAUGAUCAACGAAGGAUCCGAAUCGGUAAUGGUAUAUAUGAUUUCUUUCGUCGGAUGGGUGGUACCUGUUAUGAUUAAACCGGUUAGCUUUUCCAACGAGUAAGAAGUAAAAAGUAAAAAAAAAAAACAAAAAACAACAAUUGAAUAUCUCCUACACAAUGGCACGCAUACUCCGCCGGUAGCCCAUACAGCCCACUGACAAACAACAUAGUCGUAUCCCGCGGGUGUCAAAAACGCAAUGCGUCGCUCCUCCAAAUCCCCUGCCAGCUCCAGCUUCAAGGACCCCAGAAUCUGCAUCUUAAGGCACGAAACGUCCGCCAGGAGCUGGGCAUAGGUGAAGCUUUGGCCCUUGGCUGUGUCAAUGAUUGCGAGUUUGCCGGCAUCUUUCUGAGCGUGGUUCCGCGCAGCUAGUAGGAGAGGAAGCGAAGGAAUUGAGGUCGAUUUGUCGUUGUUAUUGCAGUUGUUCUCAUUAGUAUUAUUAUUACUAUCGGUCUUACUAUUACCAGAUUGUUGCCAUCGAUUCCGUAUGAAUUGGAAUGUGAAAUAUGGAAUCGAGAGUGCCGCGGCCGUCCAGAGAGUAAUGAGAGCCCAGUUAUGUUGACAGUCCCUGGAGGGACUGACCAAGGACAUUCUCGCCGUAGCUGUCGCUCUCGCAGCGGGUUUUUAAAGGAAUCGGAGCUGGAGGCAAGGAGCUGACACCCAAUUUCUCGAACUUUGACGUGCGUAUAGGCCGGGGGGCUGGGAGCUUGCUAUGGA
rnacentral:sRNA from 2 species